ACGGAAGGCAGCAGUGGGGAAUAUUGCACAAUGGGGGAAACCCUGAUGCAGCGACGCCGCGUGAGUGAAGAAGUUAUUCGUAAUGUAAAGCUCUAUCAGCAGGGAAGAAAAUGACGGUACCUGACUAAGAAGCCCCGGCUAACUACGUGCCAGCAGCCGCGGUAAUACGUAGGGGGCAAGCGUUAUCCGGAUUUACUGGGUGUAAAGGGAGCGUAGACGGUCUGGCAAGUCUGAUGUGAAAGGCAGGGGCUCAACUCCUGGACUGCAUUGGAAACUGUCAGUCUUGAGCGCCGGAGAGGUAAGCGGAAUUCCUAGUGUAGCGGUGAAAUGCGUAGAUAUUAGGAGGAACACCAGUGGCGAAGGCGGCUUACUGGACGGUAACUGACGUUGAGGCUCGAAAGCGUGGGGAGCAAACAGGAUUAGAUACCCUGGUA
rnacentral:rRNA from 1 species